rnacentral:lncRNA from 1 species
AUACGUUAUUCCUUGGAAGACAAUCCUUUGCCUUUUAAAGGGUUUAGGUAAAGAAUGAAAAGAUAGAGAGGUGUGAGUGAGUGUUAUGAUGGUUAAUUGGGUUGGUUGGUGCCUUUGAGUGCUUUUUUAGAAUGGACUUUGAUCUUCUACUUUAUACAACAUUACAAAAGCUUAGCAUAAUUGAAGCAGGUUAAAAGCAUAUGCUUAACUAAUACUAACACCCCUUCAUUCGCUCCAUUCUUUUGUCUUCUCUUCUCUCUCUUCAUGCUUUCCAAUCAUUUUUGUCCAUAUCUCACCACUUUCUUCUCACUUCCUACUUUUCAAAACUAAUUACACUCAUUUCUUCAAUACACUACUCCUCAUACAUCUAAUAACACUCUUUUCAUUU